UGAAAGAAGAAUACUGGGGGCAGCAGGAAGAGCCUCAGAGCCCUGCAGGGUGUAUACUGUGCUGCCAAAGUCAAUAUUGCCUCAGGCUCCAAAAAUAAGUAGAAAACUCACUUUCCAAAGGUUGUUUUAGCUUUCCAAUUGGGAUGUAGUGUUUUUUUUUUCCUUGUAUGCACAGUAAGAGUGCUGGAAUUUGAGUCCCUCUCAGUGCUCUCUACCAACUUGGAUAUCUGUGGCAUAUCUCCACUGAUUUGAUGUUAAUUUUUUCCUCCUCUCUCUGGUUCCCAUGUUCUGCAGCACAUUUUGAAAGCUCAGUAGCCUUCUGUGAAGUCUGGUGAAGUCUAUCUGGACAGCAAAGGGCUGGGGCAGUGGUGUGAUGCACCUGCUAAAUGGAACCAUCAUAUCAAUAGAGCUAGAGCAAUACGGCCAGAGAUGCUGAACUAAGGAUUUGACGGAUGGUGGCCCACCAGGAAAAUACACUGGUGCGAUGCCUUUUUACAAGGCUGUUGGAAAAGGUCCUUGAUGAGGUGAGGUGGAUGGCAGUACGAGAGGCGGAGGUGCUGUCCUUGUGCCCCGUCUGGACUUUACAGAACCGGGAACA
rnacentral:lncRNA from 1 species